CCUACGGGAGGCAGCAGUGAGGAAUAUUGGUCAAUGGGCGCGAGCCUGAACCAGCCAAGUAGCGUGAGGGAAGACGGUCCGAUGGAUUGUAAACCUCUUUUGUCGGGGAGCAAAAGACGCCACGCGUGGCGUUCCGAGAGUACCCGAAGAAAAAGCAUCGGCUAACUCCGUGCCAGCAGCCGAGGUAAUACGGGGGAUGCGAGCGUUAUCCGGAUGUAUUGGGUUUAAAGGGUGCGCAGGCGGAAGAUCAAGUCAGCGGUAAAAUUGGGAGGCUCAACCUCUUCGAGCCGUUGAAACUGGUUUUCUUGAGUGGGUGAGACGUAUGCGGAAUGCGUGGUGUAGCGGUGAAAUGCAUAGAUAUCACGCAGAACUCCGAUUGCGAAGGCAGCAUACCGGCGCUCAACUGACGCUCAUGCACGAAAGUGUGGGUAUCGAACAGGAUUAGAUACCCUUGUAGUC
rnacentral:rRNA from 1 species